rnacentral:rRNA from 1 species
AGCCAAGCUUGCUUGGUGGAUCAGUGGCGAACGGGUGAGUAACACGUGAGCAACCUGCCCUGGACUCUGGGAUAAGCGCUGGAAACGGCGUCUAAUACUGGAUAUGAGACGUGAUCGCAUGGUCGUGUUUGGAAAGAUUUUUCGGUCUGGGAUGGGCUCGCGGCCUAUCAGCUUGUUGGUGAGGUAAUGGCUCACCAAGGCGUCGACGGGUAGCCGGCCUGAGAGGGUGACCGGCCACACUGGGACUGAGACACGGCCCAGACUCCUACGGGAGGCAGCAGUGGGGAAUAUUGCACAAUGGGCGAAAGCCUGAUGCAGCAACGCCGCGUGAGGGAUGACGGCCUUCGGGUUGUAAACCUCUUUUAGCAGGGAAGAAGCGAAAGUGACGGUACCUGCAGAAAAAGCGCCGGCUAACUACGUGCCAGCAGCCGCGGUAAUACGUAGGGCGCAAGCGUUAUCCGGAAUUAUUGGGCGUAAAGAGCUCGUAGGCGGUUUGUCGCGUCUGCUGUGAAAUCCCGAGGCUCAACCUCGGGCCUGCAGUGGGUACGGGCAGACUAGAGUGCGGUAGGGGAGAUUGGAAUUCCUGGUGUAGCGGUGGAAUGCGCAGAUAUCAGGAGGAACACCGAUGGCGAAGGCAGAUCUCUGGGCCGUAACUGACGCUGAGGAGCGAAAGGGUGGGGAGCAAACAGGCUUAGAUACCCUGGUAGUCCACCCCGUAAACGUUGGGAACUAGUUGUGGGGACCAUUCCACGGUUUCCGUGACGCAGCUAACGCAUUAAGUUCCCCGCCUGGGGAGUACGGCCGCAAGGCUAAAACUCAAAGGAAUUGACGGGGACCCGCACAAGCGGCGGAGCAUGCGGAUUAAUUCGAUGCAACGCGAAGAUCUUUACCAAGGCUUGACAUAUACGAGAACGG